rnacentral:rRNA from 1 species
AACAACUCACCUGCCGAAUCAACUAGCCCUGAAAAUGGAUGGCGCUUAAGCGAGAGACCUAUACUCCGCCGUUGCGGCAUGUGCGUUGUCUAGCGCCAGGCCGUAACGAGUAGGAAGGUCGUGGCGGUUGCUUUGAAGGCUAUGAGCGUGGGCUCGGCUGGAGCUUCCGUCAGUGCAGAUCGUAAUGGUAGUAGCAAAUAUUCAAGUUCGAUCCUUGAAGACUGAAGUGGAGAAGGGUUCCACGUGAACAGUAGUUGGAUGUGGGUCAGUCGAUCCUAAGGUACUGGCGAACGCCUUGUAUCAUCGGUGGCGAAAAGCUUGCUUUUGGUCCCCGUUUGUCGAAAGGGAAUAGGGUUAAUAUUCCCUAACUGAGAUGCAAAGAUUGUGUUCUUCGGAGCACAAGCGCGGUAACGCAUUCGAACUUGGUUAGUCGCUCAAAGACCGAGCUAGAGUUUUCUUCUCUAGUUAAGGAACGGACUCCCUGGAAUUGGUUCAGCCAGAGAUGGGGACGUUGUUUCCGAAAAGCACCGCGGUUUCUGUGGUGUCUCGUGCUCUUUGAACGGCCCUUAAAACACCAAGGGAGGCUAUUAAUUUGCACUCAAUCGUACCGAUAUCCGCAUUAGGUCUCCAAGGUGAACAGCCUCUAGUCGAUAGAAUAAUGUAGGUAAGGGAAGUCGGCAAACUAGAUCCGUAACUUCGGGAAAAGGAUUGGCUCCAGUGGUUGGAACGAUUGGCCAGUUGGUUGAUGCUUGUCCGGCGCUAUUCUGUCUGCUUGAUGCUUUCGGGCUGAUGGCGGACUAGUGAUAGUGCUUGCUUGUGGACGCUUUCUGGUGUGUGCUAGGACCUCGGUUCUAGUAUCCUGAUCGCUCAUCUAAACAACCGUACUGGAACCGGUACGGACUCAGGGAAUCCGACUGUCUAAUUAAAACAGAGGUGACAGAUGGUCCUUGCGGACGCUGACUGUCACUGAUUUCUGCCCAGUGCUCUGAAUGUUAAAUCGUAGUAAUUCGAGUAAGCGCGGGUAAACGGCGGGAGUAACUAUGACUCUCUUAAGGUAGCCAAAUGCCUCGUCAUUUAAUUGUUGACGCGCAUGAAUGGAUUAACGAGAUUCCUACUGUCCCUAACUACUAUCUAGCGAAACCACAGCCAAGGGAACGGGCUUGGCAAAAAUAGCGGGGAAAGAAGACCCUGUUGAGCUUGACUCUAGUUUGACAUUGUGAAGAGUCAUGAGAGGUGUAGCAUAGGUGGGAGACUUCGGUCGCCGGUGAAAUACCACCACUUUCAUCGACUCUUUACUUAUUCGGUUAAAAGAGAAUUGGCUUCACGGCCUUUUUUCGAAGCAUUAAGCGGAGCCAUUUUAUGGCACCGUGACUCUCCUCGAAGACAGUGUCAAGCGGGGAGUUUGACUGGGGCGGUACAUCUAUCAAAUCGUAACGUAGGUGUCCUAAGGCGAGCUCAGAGAGGACGGAAACCUCUCGUAGAGCAAAAGGGCAAAAGCUUGCUUGAUCUUGACUUUCAGUACGAGUACAGACCGCGAAAGCGUGGCCUAUCGAUCCUUUUAAUCCUGAUUGUUUCAGGUAAGAGGUGUCAGAAAAGUUACCACAGGGAUAACUGGCUUGUGGCAGCCAAGCGUCCAUAGCGACGUUGCUUUUUGAUCCUUCGAUGUCGGCUCUUCCUAUCAUUGCGAAGCAGAAUUCGCCAAGCGUUGGAUUGUUCACCCACUAAUAGGGAACGUGAGCUGGGUUUAGACCGUCGUGAGACAGGUUAGUUUUACCCUACUGUUGACUUGUUAUUGCGAAAGUAAUCCUGCUUAGUACGAGAGGAACAGCGGGUUCAAACAUUUGGUUCAUAGACUUGAUCGACAGAUCAAUGGUCUGAAGCUACCAUUUGAGAGAUUAUAACUGAACGCCUCUAAGUUAGAAUCUCGCCUUGUCAAGGCGAAAAUUUCUUGCUUCCCGGUGUCGGGAGGCAUCUCUAUCUCGUGGCAACACGAGAGCUUAUGCCCUAUGUAUGGCCUUGGCUUCGUAGUGAACUCUGCGAAGCUUGCCAACGCCAGAUCACUCUGGUUCAAUGUCGGGGCGCUAAAUCACUUGCAUACGACUUGGUCUCUUGGUCAAGGUGUUGUAUUCAGUAGAGCAGUCCUCUUAUACUGCGAUCUGUUGAGACUAUCCUUUGAUUGAGUUUUUUGUUUCUUU